rnacentral:rRNA from 1 species
GAUGAACGCUGGCGGCGUGCUUAACACAUGCAAGUCGAACGGUGAACACGGAGCUUGCUCUGUGGGAUCAGUGGCGAACGGGUGAGGAACACGUGAGCAACCUGCCCCUGACUCUGGGAUAAGCGCUGGAAACGGCGUCUAAUACUGGAUAUGUGACGUGACCGCAUGGUCUGCGUUUGGAAAGAUUUUUCGGUUGGGGAUGGGCUCGCGGCCUAUCAGCUUGGUGGUGAGGUAAUGGCUCACCAAGGCGUCGACGGGUAGCCGGCCUGAGAGGGUGACCGGCCACACUGGGACUGAGACACGGCCCAGACUCCUACGGGAGGCAGCAGUGGGGAAUAUUGCACAAUGGGCGGAAGCCUGAUGCAGCAACGCCGCGUGAGGGAUGACGGCCUUCGGGUUGUAAACCUCUUUUAGCAGGGAAGAAGCGAAAGUGACGGUACCUGCAGAAAAAGCGCCGGCUAACUACGUG